rnacentral:antisense_RNA from 1 species
GAGUCCAAAUCCAGAAAUGAUACCUAUAAGUAAAUAACAUACCACACUAGCUCCAGUGCUAGUCUGUCCAGUGCCCAGCCAUGGCAGAGAUGAAGGUGGAUGCACCUGACUUGCUGAAUAGGAUGUUGCACUGGGUUGAUAAAGAGUUGUAGUGGAACCACGAUAAUCAACAUCAUCUGAACUGUGAAAAACAUUCAUGUGUUACUGUGAACGUUCCCUUUUCUCUUAACACAAAUUCCAACUAAAAAUCUUCUUAUGUACCCAUAGGACAAUCUUUAUUUUAAAAACUAAGUAGCCACGAGAAAAACUUAGGUACAAGUCCUAAUCGCCAAUGUUAAUACUGGUUAACUUUUUUCCCUUUUGGCAAAAUGUAAAUUUAGUCUAAUGUUGUUUGGGGACAACUUUAUUGCUGCACAAGUUGAAACAAAAGUUUGUUUUUAUCUAUGGAAAAAUAUUAUGUUCUCUUCAAGUACAGAUAGCUCAGUAUCAAAUUAACACGUUUAAAGAAAUUUGAGUUCAAAGAUUUCUUGGAGUAAGAUAUAUAAAAUGUGAAAGUAAUUGUUGUGAUGGAUUGUAUCAUAGUACAUGGUUAUAUCUACUCUGAAAUGUGAUAUUAAAUCCUAGUUAUAUCACAUACUAACAAAAAAAAGAAUUCAACAAAAUGAGGAGAGAAACUAUCAUGGCACCAUCCUCAAGCAUGAACAAUUUCUAAGAGUCUGGAGAAAAGCAGGAGGGAAGGCAAACCACAAAGAAGAAACCUCAAAAUAGGUGACUGCCUCCCUUUCAUCACGAAGGGCCAUUCAAAUUUUCUGCCCAUGCCUCCAGGGACUCCCCUAUGGCUGCUGCAGCUGAUAAAGACGCAUCCAAGAAAACUUCCAAGGAAUGGUCAAUGUAUGGCACAGCUAACUCAGUGAAGGCCAAACUGCUGAAGAAUCUAUUUGUCUUAACUAGCUGAAUUCACCAAUCUGUUUCCCAAAAACUUGUUUUGUGAAAUAUUUUCCUGUAAUAUCUUCAGUGAAUAAAAGAUCUUAUUCUUAUAAAUAUAUCUAUAACUUCA